rnacentral:rRNA from 1 species
AUUGAACGCUGGCGGCAUGCUUUACACAUGCAAGUCGAACGGCAGCGCGGGCUUCGGCCUGGCGGCGAGUGGCGAACGGGUGAGUAAUGCAUCGGAACGUGCCCAGUAGUGGGGGAUAGCCCGGCGAAAGCCGGAUUAAUACCGCAUACGACCUGAGGGUGAAAGCGGGGGACCGAAAGGCCUCGCGCUAUUGGAGCGGCCGAUGUCGGAUUAGCUAGUUGGUGGGGUAAAGGCUUACCAAGGCGACGAUCCGUAGCUGGUCUGAGAGGACGACCAGCCACACUGGGACUGAGACACGGCCGCGACUCCUACGGGAGGAAGCAGUGGGGAAUUCUGGACAAUGGGGGAAACCCUGAUACAGCCAUGCCGCGUGAGGGAAGAAGGCCUUCGGGUUGUAAACCGCUUUUGUUCGGGAAGAAAUCCUCUGGGCUAAUACCCCGGGGGGAUGACGGUACCGGAAGAAUAAGCACCGGCUAACUCCGUG